rnacentral:tRNA from 1 species
GCGCCCAUAGCUCAACGGAUAGAGCGCAGCCCUCCGAAGGCUGAAAUCGGGGUUCGAAUCCUCGUGGGCGCG